rnacentral:rRNA from 1 species
AGUGAACGCUGGCGGUAGGCCUAACACAUGCAAGUCGAACGGCAGCACAGUAAGAGCUUGCUCUUACGGGUGGCGAGUGGCGGACGGGUGAGGAAUACAUCGGAAUCUACUUUUUCGUGGGGGAUAACGUAGGGAAACUUACGCUAAUACCGCAUACGACCUACGGGUGAAAGCAGGGGAUCUUCGGACCUUGCGCGAUUGAAUGAGCCGAUGUCGGAUUAGCUAGUUGGCGGGGUAAAGGCCCACCAAGGCGACGAUCCGUAGCUGGUCUGAGAGGAUGACAGGCAACACGGGAACGAGGACAGGGCCCAACCCCCUACGGGAGGCAGCGGGGGGGAAUAUUGGACAAGGGGGGAAAGCCGGAUCCGGCCAUACCGCGGGGGGGAAGAGGGCCUUGGGGUGGUAAACCCCUUUUGUUGGGAAAAAAAAGCGGGAGGUUAAUACCCCGCUGUUCGGACGGUACCAAAAAAAAAAGCACCGGCAAACUUCGU